UUAAUUUAUUAAAAAAAUUUUUUUGAAAUAUUAUUAAAUUACAAAAAUUAAUUAAUUUCUCUUAAAAACUCCCCACUUACACCGCAUCACAUGUGACACCAAUAAUCAAGAUCAAUUUUCCAUUUUGACUUGUCAUUCAAACUCAACAAAUUUCACUCCAAACUCACUAAAUUUAUUUCUUUACAAAAUAUAGAUUUUAAUAAUUCUACAAAAAAAAUAUUCAAUAAUGGCAAUAAAGUUCUCAAAAGUGAUAAAAGUGGUUGUCGCAGCAAAAGUGGGAAUAAUUUGUGGAAUCGCCGUGUUCAAAUUACAACGAGAAGAUAACACCGAUCACAAUAGACCUCGAUAUUAAUAUUAAUUAUUAAUUCAUCAAUUAAACCAGUCAUCCAAAUGGCGGGAAUUUUAAAAGAAAAUAUUUCGUCAAUUACAAUUUCAAUUAAACCAAACUUUCCAUGCGUAUUUAUUGAUAAUUACAUUAUUAUAAUUAAUUAAUAAUAAAUAGAGAAAUUAUUCAAAA